UGAAGGUUGUCACUGCAUAGCCAGAAUCUGAACAAGGGAAAUAGUCCAUUUUAUAAAACACAGACAUAAAUUCCAACCAAAAAGAAAGAAUUCAAUUUAUUUGGCUUAAUGGAAAUGCAAGAAGACAAAUAAAAUGUAAGCAUGAAUGGAUGAAGAAAAGAAGAUAUAACGCACAUAGGACAGUGUCUCCUCUGUGUAUUUAUUACAAAGAUUCCAGUUGUGAUUCACAAUUCAGAAUUCAUGCUGACAGCCUACAGAAAAAAUUCUCAAUUACUGAGAUAAAUUUCAACAUUAACAAAAAGUAAGCCUUUUCCUGCUAUUACUUUUUUUUUUCUUUUGAGACAGGGUCUCACUCUGUUGCCCAAGAUGGAAUGCAGGGGUGCAAUCUUGACUCACUGAAACCUCCGUCUCCUGGGUUCAAGUGAUCUUCCCACCUCAGCCCACCAAAUAGCUGGGACUACAGGCACAUGCCACUAUGCCAGGCUAAUCUUUGUAUUUUUUUUUUUUUUUAGUAGAGACGAGAUUUUGCCGUGUUGCCCAGGCUGUCUGGAACUCCUGAGCUCAAGCGAUCUGACUGCCUCGGCCUCCCAAAGUCCUAGGAUUACAAGAGUGAGUCAUUGCUAUUACAUUUUUUUAUCAGUAUUAAGGUGUAGUCAAGCCUCUUUCUUAUAGGCCAACAGGUUUUUA
rnacentral:lncRNA from 1 species